AGAGUUUGAUCCUGGCUCAGGAUGAACGCUAGCUACAGGCUUAACACAUGCAAGUCGAGGGGCAGCAUGGUCUUAGCUUGCUAAGGCUGAUGGUGACCGGCGCACGGGUGAGUAACACGUAUCCAACCUGCCGUCUACUCUUGGCCAGCCUUCUGAAAGGAAGAUUAAUUCAGGAUGGCAUCAUGAGUUCACAUGUCCGCAUGAUUAAAGGUAUUUUCCGGUAGACGAUGGGGAUGCGUUCCAUUAGAUAGUAGGCGGGGUAACGGCCCACCUAGUCAACGAUGGAUAGGGGUUCUGAGAGGAAGGUCCCCCACAUUGGAACUGAGACACGGUCCAAACCCCUACGGGAGGCAGCAGUGAGGAAUAUUGGUCAAUGGACGCAAGUCUGAACCAGCCAUGCCGCGUGCAGGAUGACGGCUCUAUGAGUUGUAAACUGCUUUUGUACGAGGGUAAACGCAGAUACGUGUAUCUGUCUGAAAGUAUCGUACGAAUAAGGAUCGGCUAACUCCGUGCCAGCAGCCGCGGUAAUACGGAGGAUUCAAGCGUUAUCCGGAUUUAUUGGGUUUAAAGGGUGCGUAGGCGGUUUGAUAAGUUAGAGGUGAAAUUUCGGGGCUCAACCCUGAACGUGCCUCUAAUACUGUUGAGCUAGAGAGUAGUUGCGGUAGGCGGAAUGUAUGGUGUAGCGGUGAAAUGCUUAGAGAUCAUACAGAACACCGAUUGCGAAGGCAGCUUACCAAACUAUAUCUGACGUUGAGGCACGAAAGCGUGGGGAGCAAACAGGAUUAGAUACCCUGGUAGUCCACGCAGUAAACGAUGAUAACUCGUUGUCGGCGAUACACAGUCGGUGACUAAGCGAAAGCGAUAAGUUAUCCACCUGGGGAGUACGUUCGCAAGAAUGAAACUCAAAGGAAUUGACGGGGGCCCGCACAAGCGGAGGAACGUGUGGUUUAAUUCGAUGAUACGCGAGGAACCUUACCCGGGCUUGAAAGUUAGCGACGAUUCUUGAAAGAGGAUUUCCCUUCGGGGCGUGAAACUAGGUGCUGCAUGGUUGUCGUCAGCUCGUGCCGUGAGGUGUCGGGUUAAGUCCCAUAACGAGCGCAACCCCUACCGUUAGUUGCCAUCAGGUCAAGCUGGGCACUCUGGCGGGACUGCCGGUGUAAGCCGAGAGGAAGGUGGGGAUGACGUCAAAUCAGCACGGCCCUUACGUCCGGGGUUACACACGUGUUACAAUGGUAGGUACAGAGGGCAGCUACCCAGCGAUGGGAUGCGAAUCUAGAAAGCCUAUCUCAGUUCGGAUUGGAGGCUGAAACCCGCCUCCAUGUAAGUUGGAUUCGCUAGUAAUCGCGCAUCAGCCAUGGCGCGGUGAAUACGUUCCCGGGCCUUGCAC
rnacentral:rRNA from 1 species